UCGGAAGGUUAGACGGGUGUCGACGAAUUUUAUCAUCAAAGUGUUUUCCUCAACAGUGUACAGGGAAUUCCUGUGGCAUCUACAUGCUGAUGUAUGCUCUCAGCACCUGUACAUCAUGCCCACUAACAUUCACAGAGGUAAGC